UUAAGAUGUAACCUAACUUCAAAAUAUAUAACCUAUUCAGGAGGGCUCAUAUGGCCAAGCCUGCAGUUCUCCCUGCAGGUUGUUCAAGCUGUCCUGUUUGCCACAGCACCUAUCUGCCUCCAUCCUGAUGCUGCUGAAACUUUUGUAAUCAAAGUUGAUGCAUCUAACGCACUUACCACAGAGUUACCACACUUCACCAACAAGAAUGGGAUGGAAAGCUCCACUCAAGGAAGUUUUGUCUCACUCAGGAGGAAUAUUUUGAGGGCGACUGGGAACAGAUGGCGUUCACAAUCAGAUGAAGCAGUGACAAUAGGCCUUUGGAACAAAAGAAACCUUCCUGUUCUGGACUGACCACAGGAACUGGAUAUAUAUUCAAACUCUAAAACAACUGCGUUCCAAUUUCUCCAUAUCACUCUGGACCCUAAGCCAAUCCUUCCUGUCCACCGGUUAUCAGCUCCUCUUUCUUGGCCUCUGAAGUCGUCCAUCUGCGCUGCCCUGCCUGCCAGUGCCUCAUGAGACUCCUGCUUGUCAUCUUUACAUUCCUUCCCAGUGUGGUCUAAAGGUUUUGAUCUGGGUCUUCUGGUCUGGGCAGGACCCAGAAACUCCUCCAAAUGGCACUCUGAUGAUCCUCCAUGGGUCAGGACAUCAUUCAGGUUGUUUCUGUGCUUCCCAUGUGAAGCUUAAUUCACCACAGCUGUAUAAGUUCUCUCUCUUUCUCUUCUCUUUGCCAUUCCCACUUCAUGUCCGGUCUGUAUGUAACACUGAUUCCUUUCCAACUCUUCUGUCAGUGCCCAGGGUGUUAUUGUUAUUUGAGCAAAGUGCUUUUUUCUCCCUACCCACCACCAGCUCGUUUGGGUCUAGCCAGCAUGGCACAUCUUUCUCAGUAAUCCAUGAGUCUCGCCCCAAACUGUCUGCCAUAUUCACAAUGAAGUCAUGAGACAGAAUAUCCCUUCUGUUGGGAUAUGAAACAAAGACAGAACCGAACCCAAGAAAAACUCAAAAUAAAGAAGUUAUAAAUUUCUGCAGAACCAUCUACCACAGCACUGUGUCAGGAUCAAUCUCACCAAUUAAUGAAUUCAUACAUUGAGUAAUUUAUUACAUUGCAUGAAUAUAAUCACUGUGUUUGUUAUGAGCUGUUAAAAAUCUUACUUUUGAUCAUGUAAAAAGCAAUUAAUGAGGAGCAGACAUUGCCUUUCAGUCCAGAGAAUUGUUGGUUCGCAAAGACAAGCACAGCUUUCCAAGCCUCUGAUCUGUUGACUGAUCUGUUAGACUGGGAAAUGUGUGCUGCCACAGCAACACGCACAUGCUAGCUAAAAGAAAAUCUGCACGUCAAAAUGUUGAGGAGAAGGUUAUAAAUUAUAGAUCAGAAGCACACUGCUCCGAAAGUGAUUGAUUUUUUUUUUUCUGCCAUCAUUAUUCGGAGCCAUGAGAAUAAACUUGUGCACAUAGUUACGCAUUUACACCACAUCCAUCCAUGUUCAACAGUUUUGUGUGUACAAAGUAACACAUGUACUGACUUUUCUCUGAGAGUGAUUGUCGAGCUUUCUGUUGUAAUGCCCAAACUUCCAGUUCCAGUCGUAACGUUCUUCAGCCAUUAGAAGAGCAGAGAAUCCCUUUGAAUAGGUGAGACCCGAUGUGGCUCUGACCCCAACAUCAUGGAGUUAGUUUGGAAUUAGGAAAAAACAACAAGAUCCCAAAUGUACAAGAGGAGAGCUAACCAGAGUUAGGUAGUAACUUCUUACAUUUACUCAAUUACAUUCACUUGAGUAAAUUUUUUAAACAAAUGUACUUGUAGGAGUAUUUU